rnacentral:rRNA from 1 species
GACGAACGCUGGCGGCGUGCUUAACACAUGCAAGUCGAACGGAAAGGCCCUGCUUUUGUGGGGUGCUCGAGUGGCGAACGGGUGAGUAACACGUGAGUAACCUGCCCUUGACUUUGGGAUAACUUCAGGAAACUGGGGCUAAUACCGGAUAGGAGCUCCUGCUGCAUGGUGGGGGUUGGAAAGUUUCGGCGGUUGGGGAUGGACUCGCGGCUUAUCAGCUUGUUGGUGGGGUAGUGGCUUACCAAGGCUUAGACGGGUAGCCGGCCUGGGAGGGUGACCGGCCACAUUGGGACUAAGAUACGGCCCAGACUCCUACGGGAGGCAGCAGGGGAGAAUAUUGCACAAUGGGCGGAAGCCUGAGGCAGCAACGCCGGGUGCGUGAUGACGGCCUUCGGGUUGUAAACCGCUUUCGCCUGUAACGAAGCGUUAGUGACGGUAAUGGGUAAAGAAGCACCGGCUAACUACGUG